UACGUAGGGUGCAAGCGUUAAUCGGAAUUACUGGGCGUAAAGCGUGCGCAGGCGGUUGUGCAAGACAGAUGUGAAAUCCCCGGGCUUAACCUGGGAAUUGCAUUUGUGACUGCACGGCUAGAGUGUGUCAGAGGGGGAUAGAAUUCCACGUGUAGCAGUGAAAUGCGUAGAGAUGUGGAGGAAUACCGAUGGCGAAGGCAGCCCCCUGGGAUAACACUGACGCUCAUGCACGAAAGCGUGGGGAGCAAACAGG
rnacentral:rRNA from 1 species